rnacentral:rRNA from 1 species
GGAUGCGAUCAUACCAGCACUAAAGCACCGGAUCCCAUCAAAACUCCGAAGUUAAGCGUGCUUGGGCAAGAGUAGUACUAGGAUGGGUGACCUCCUGGGAAGUCCUCGUGUUGCAUUCC